GGUAUAGCUUUAAAACACUGAUUAUGGUUAACGUAGUAAGUUUACUUUCGGUUUUGGAUACAAUUGUGUGUGACGGAUGUAACCGAACUAUGAGCAAUUAUAUUUUUGCUCCGUUAGCCCACUACUAUAUUACUACCUCCAAUGAUUUCCAGUUAACUACUUCAGUGGCAUUCCAGACUAACUCGUCAUUAGCAGCGGAUAAGAUCCCCAAAUGUGGGAAUUACCCCAGAAUAUCUGUAAAUUGCUCUGGUCCUGGAGCUAGCAAGUAAAGGCUCCCUUGAGCCGUCCCGACUACGGUCUGGAGGCGCAGCAGGAAAGGUAACGCAGGUCUUCCUGUGAAGAGCCAGGUCAAUAUUGUGUACUGCAGGCUGAGGAAGCUGAAGGCCCACGGCUUGGAGAGCGCUAGGGAAGUUCUAGCCUAACCACUGGAGAGUCCAGCUGUGCACCUGCGUCAGUUGCAUGGUGGGCCAGUAAAGAUGCUUCUCUCUUGAGAUUGUGUGUUUUGCCAUGAUUUAUUAAAAGCACAGUGCAGCCACUGUUGUUUUUAGAUAUUUGAUGUGGAACAGAUUGCUGUAGCUAACCGUUUCAUUGUUGUCUCAGCCCUUUGGAUUGGAUAAAGGUGGAGAGCUGUUUCCAUUGAAUAUGUGUUGUCAUUUCUGCUCAGAGGGCCUGCUGGAUGAGUCGGACACUGUCCUGGCCUGUGAGAACUGAGGCAUUAUAGAGCAAGGAACUGCUAGUCUCAGGCCUGGCAUAAGCAGACGGUUGUGUACUCUGGACAGCAUUCAGCAACUGGAGAUUGUUUAACUUAAGGAUGGGGACAAUCUUUUUCAUUUAUUUGUUUGGCAGCUAUUAACUGUAGAUGUAACCUAACACAGGGUUUAUACCAUUUGAUGAAAGUAAAAUGUUGUUUCUUCUGUCUCUGAGUUAAUUGAGAAGGAGACUGAACUGAUGGCUUUCCUACAGCAGAUUGCUGAUGAAGGAAAGGUCAUCACAGCAGAAGCCAUCCACCAAUUCUUUGGGGAGCUGAUGAAGAAGAGGCGACAGAUGAACAGCUGAUGUCAUUCUGCCCCACGGUGUCCUGUUGUUUACUUGUGCAAUUUUGUAAUGUUACUUUGGGUUCAUAGCAAAACAGUUCUGUCCACCAAACACCUUCUGCUUUAAAUAACAGUGCUGCUAUAAAAUAUGCUGUUACUGAGAUUUAUGAAGUUGAAAGUUUUGCCCAAAAAGUUGUUCUCGAAUGGCUCUCCAUGGAUUUCAAAUGGCGUUCCAUGUCUCAUGAGAAGCUGAAGUAGCAUGCUGUUAGCAGGCUUGGAGAGAUGCUGAUGGAAUCUAGUCAUUUUAGUCAUGGACUUACUGUUAUUUGGUCAAUUAUGUCUUAGUUGUCAUUAGAAUUUCAUAAUAAUGUGACACCUGAUGAGGAUGCACUGCCAUUCAUAUUGAAACAGAUCCAGUAUGUGACCAUUUCAUGUUGUCACAAGCAUUCCUGUUAAUUAAACAUUUGAAUAGUU